GACGAACGCUGGCGGCGUGCCUAAUACAUGCAAGUAGAACGCUGAAGGAGGAGCUUGCUUCUCUGGAUGAGUUGCGAACGGGUGAGUAACGCGUAGGUAACCUGCCUGGUAGCGGGGGAUAACUAUUGGAAACGAUAGCUAAUGCCGCAUAAUAGUAGAUGUUGCAUGACAUUUGCUUAAAAGGUGCAAUUGCAUCACUACCAGAUGGACCUGCGUUGUAUUAGCUAGUUGGUGGGGUAACGGCUCACCAAGGCGACGAUACAUAGCCGACCUGAGAGGGUGAUCGGCCACACUGGGACUGAGACACGGCCCAGACUCCUACGGGAGGCAGCAGUAGGGAAUCUUCGGCAAUGGACGGAAGUCUGACCGAGCAACGCCGCGUGAGUGAAGAAGGUUUUCGGAUCGUAAAGCUCUGUUGUAAGAGAAGAACGAGUGUGAGAGUGGAAAGUUCACACUGUGACGGUAUCUUACCAGAAAGGGACGGCUAACUACGUG
rnacentral:rRNA from 1 species